UUACGGCCACAUCAUGUUCAAACACCGGUUCCCGUAUGAUCACCGAAGUUAAGCAACAUCGGUCCUGGUCAGUAUCUAGAUGAGUGACUGAUUGGAAAUACCGGACGCUGUAAG